rnacentral:tRNA from 1 species
GGGGGCGUAGGCUAAUGGUAAACUUCUUCUCUCCAAAAGAAGGGUUCCAGGUUCGAAUCCUGGCGUCCCCG